rnacentral:rRNA from 1 species
CACGUAGGGCGCAAGCGUUGUCCGGAAUUAUUGGGCGUAAAGAGCGCGUAGGCGGCCCUGUAAGUCCGCUGUGAAAGUCAAGGGCUCAACCCUUGGAUGCCGGUGGAUACUGCAGGGCUAGAGUCCGGAAGAGGCGAGUGGAAUUCCUGGUGUAGCGGUGAAAUGCGCAGAUAUCAGGAGGAACACCGGUGGCGAAGGCGGGAUCCUGGGCCAGUACUGACGCUGAGGAGCGAAAGCGUGGGGAGCAAACAGG